rnacentral:rRNA from 1 species
GGGAAAGUCGUGCCAGGAGCCUCGGUAAUACAGGGGGUGCGAGCGUUAAUCGGAUUUACUGGGCGUAAAGCGCGCGUAGGUGGUUAAUUAAGUCAAAUGUGAAAUCCCCGAGCUUAACUUGGGAAUUGCAUUCGAUACUGGUUAGCUAGAGUAUGGGAGAGGAUGGUAGAAUUCCAGGUGUAGCGGUGAAAUGCGUAGAGAUCUGGAGGAAUACCGAUGGCGAAGGCAGCCAUCUGGCCUAAUACUGACACUGAGGUGCGAAAGCAUGGGGAGCAAACAGGAUUAGAUACCCGAGUAGUC